rfam:Anaeromyxobacter sp. Fw109-5, complete genome.
UACUCGUCUGCUCGUUUUCGUUUCAGCGGCUCGGAGGAACAGGGAAGCCGGUCGAAGUCCGGCGCGGUCCCGCCACUGUAGCCGGGUGAAGGUGCCUCGGAAGUCACCACUGCCGUGGACGUCUCGCGGUGGGAAGGUGGAGGCACCGCGCGGGGGCAACCCUCCGCGGCCCGGGAGCCAGGAGACCUCCCUUCGAGCACGUCGCGCA